CAGUAGCGUAUAUUAACGCUGUUGCCGUUGAAAAGCUCGUAGUUGGAUGUGGGGGUGUUGAGGUGUGUGUGUGGGGCUGUAGCCAGAGGCUGCGUGAGCAGGCGAUGGCUUCGCCCCCAAACACCCGCCCCAAUCCGAGGUAGCGAGGCUUAACAGCCCCGCUCACCUCACGUUACUGUGAACAAAUCAGUGUGUUCAAAGCAGGCGUUGUCCGCCUCUGCACGCAUUAGCAUGGAAUAACGAGAUAGGGCUUGGGUGACCUGUGUUCGUGUUGGUUUGUGUGGGUCGACUGAAGCAAUGAUUGACAGGGACAGUUGGGGGUGCUAGUAUUCAGCGGCCAGAGGUGAAAUUCUUGGAUUCGCUGAAGACUCACUAGUGCGAAAGCAUUCGCCAAGGAUGUGCCUUUUGA
rnacentral:rRNA from 1 species